rnacentral:lncRNA from 1 species
UGAUCAGAACAAAACUUUAUUGAUUUUAAUAACUUUUUAAACCAUAGACAUUUAAAGGAGAAUUUUUGGGGGGAAUUUUAUGGUGCUCAUGGCUCUUUUAGGAUGGAAGACAAACACUCAGCUCCUGGACUUUCCUGUGUAACAAGAUACCCAGUAUUUGUGCAUCUGUGGAGUGAUUGCUUUCCUUCUCUGGUGCUCCGUCGGCAGCAGUCCAAACCCAAUCUGUAUGACAUAUAGAGCCCAUUUCAGCCUUACAAGACCGCAACCAUCACCGAGUGGAAUAUAUCAGUAACCACGCCAGAGCCGACCUUUGCAACCUAAGACAUUGGUGAUUUGUGGAGGCUUGUUAAAGUUGAUGUUUCCUGAAUAUAUGGCCUACAUUGCACCAGGGCUGCCUGUCUUGGAAGAGGGGUUUUCUGGAUUUGAAGAAAACUGCCCAGGUAUCAGUGGGCUGCAUGAAUUUGAGUUUCCCACCCAGCUCAGAGCACUCUUCCUCUGUCUGGGUGUCAAGGAGCUUGGAGAGCACAGCAGGGCUUUGCUGUGUCCCGUCCACAGCCUUCAAGAAACCAGAAGAGAAAAACCUUGUGUCUGCAAGAUGGAGGAGUUGAAAAUGACAGUUGCUUCUUCCAGAACCUGCAAACAUGAAGCCCCAAAUUUAAGCUAA